UACGAGGGGGCUAGCGUUGCUCGGGAUCACUGGGCGUAAAGCGCACGUAGGCGGAUUGCUAAGUCAGGGGUGAAAUCCUGGAGCUCAACUCCAGAACUGCCUUUGAUACUGGCGAUCUUGAGUCCGGGAGAGGUGAGUGGAACUGCGAGUGUAGAGGUGAAAUUCGUAGAUAUUCGCAAGAACACCAGUGGCGAAGGCGGCUCACUGGCCCGGUACUGACGCUGAGGUGCGAAAGCGUGGGGAGCAAACAGG
rnacentral:rRNA from 1 species